AGUGAACGCUGGCGGUAGGCCUAACACAUGCAAGUCGAACGGCAGCACAGUAAGAGCUUGCUCUUACGGGUGGCGAGUGGCGGACGGGCGAGGAAUACAUCGGCAUCUACUUUUUCGUGGGGGAUAACGUAGGGAAACUUACGCUAAUACCGCAUACGACCUACGGGUGAAAGCAGGGGAUCUUCGGACCUUUCGCGAUUGAAUGAGCCGAUGUCGGAUUAGCUAGUUGGCGGGGUAAAGGCCCACCAAGGCGACGAUCCGUAGCUGGUCUGAGAGGAUGAUCGGCCACACUGGAACUGAGACACGGUCCAGACUCCUACGGGAGGCAGCAGUGGGGAAUAUUGGACAAUGGGCGAAAGCCUGAUCCAGCCAUACCGCGUGGGUGAAGAAGGCCUUCGGAUUGUAAAGCCCUGUUGUUGGGAAAGAAAAGCAGCAGGUUAAUACCCCGCUGUUCUGACGGUACCCAAAGAAUAAGCACCGGCUAACUUCGUG
rnacentral:rRNA from 1 species